rnacentral:rRNA from 1 species
AAUACCGGAUAUGACCGUCUUGGGCAUCCUUGACGGUGUAAAGCUCCGGCGGUGCAGGAUGAGCCCGCGGCCUAUCAGCUUGUUGGUGAGGUAAUGGCUCACCAAGGCGACGACGGGUAGCCGGCCUGAGAGGGCGACCGGCCACACUGGGACUGAGACACGGCCCAGACUCCUACGGGAGGCAGCAGUGGGGAAUAUUGCACAAUGGGCGAAAGCCUGAUGCAGCGACGCCGCGUGAGGGAUGACGGCCUUCGGGUUGUAAACCUCUUUCAGCAGGGAAGAAGCGAAAGUGACGGUACCUGCAGAAGAAGCGCCGGCUAACUACGUGCCAGCAGCCGCGGUAAUACGUAGGGCGCAAGCGUUGUCCGGAAUUAUUGGGCGUAAAGAGCUCGUAGGCGGCUUGUCACGUCGGUUGUGAAAGCCCGGGGCUUAACCCCGGGUCUGCAGUCGAUACGGGCAGGCUAGAGUUCGGUAGGGGAGAUCGGAAUUCCUGGUGUAGCGGUGAAAUGCGCAGAUAUCAGGAGGAACACCGGUGGCGAAGGCGGAUCUCUGGGCCGAUACUGACGCUGAGGAGCGAAAGCGUGGGGAGCGAAC